UUUACUACUCCCCUCGGCCCUGAACUGGGACC
rnacentral:piRNA from 1 species